GAUGAACGCUGGCGGCGUGCCUAAUACAUGCAAGUCGAGCGAACAGAUGAGGAGCUUGCUCCUCUGACGUUAGCGGCGGACGGGUGAGUAACACGUGGAUAACCUACCUAUAAGACUGGGAUAACUUCGGGAAACCGGAGCUAAUACCGGAUAAUAUAUUGAACCGCAUGGUUCAAUAGUGAAGGACGGUUUUGCUGUCACUUAUAGAUGGAUCCGCGCCGCAUUAGCUAGUUGGUAAGGUAACGGCAUACCAAGGCAACGAUGCGUAGCCGACCUGAGAGGGUGAUCGGCCACACUGGAACUGAGACACGGUCCAGACUCCUACGGGAGGCAGCAGUAGGGAAUCUUCCGCAAUGGGCGAAAGCCUGACGGAGCAACGCCGCGUGAGUGAUGAAGGUCUUCGGAUCGUAAAACUCUGUUAUUAGGGAAGAACAAAUGUGUAAGUAACUAUGCACGUCUUGACGGUACCUAAUCAGAAAGCCACGGCUAACUACGUG
rnacentral:rRNA from 1 species